UACAGAGGUCUCAAGCGUUGUUCGGAUUCAUUGGGCGUAAAGGGUGCGUAGGCGGCGUGGUAAGUCGGAUGUGAAAUCUCGGAGCUUAACUCCGAAACUGCAUUCGAUACUGCCGUGCUUGAGGACUGGAGAGGAGACUGGAAUUCCUGGUGUAGCGGUGAAAUGCGCAGAUAUCAGGAGGAACACCGAUGGCGAAGGCAGGUCUCUGGGCCGAUACUGACGCUGAGGAGCGAAAGCGUGGGGAGCGAACAGG
rnacentral:rRNA from 1 species